ACAUACUUUUAGAACAGAUUUAUUGAGGUGUAAUCUAUGUAUCAUAAAAUUCACCCAUUUUAUUUGUAUCAUUCAUUAAUUUUUAGUAAAUAUGUGGAGUUUUGCAACCAUCAGUCAACGCUGCCAAGUUUUAAAACAUUCCAUUACCCUGGAAAGGCCUUUGUGUCUUUUGCAGUUAAUCUCAAUUCCUACCUUCCAGCCCCAGGCCAACACAAAUCUGUUUUCCAUCUCUAUAUAUUUGCCUUUUCUGGAAAUUUCAUAUAGGUAAAAUUAUGCAAUAUGGAUUCUUUCUCUUGGCAGAAUAUUUUUUAAGAUCAUCCGUAUUGCAAUAGGUGUUAGUAGUUUUGUUGCUGAAUUAUAGUGCAUUUAUGGAUAUGCCUCAUUUUGUUUAUCCAUGCAAUGGUUGACAGACAUUAGAUGGUUUCCACUUUUUGGCUGUUACGAAUAAUGUUGUUAUGAGCAUUUGUUUACCAGUCUCUGUGUGGACUUUGUAUUUUCAUUUCUCUUGGGCAGACACCAAGGAGUGGAAUUGUUGGACUGUAUGUUAAUUUAUGUUUAACUCCUUAAGACCCUACCAAAAUAUUUUCCAAAGUGAUCAUAUUUUAUUCUGUGGAUUUUUAGGCAGAAGAAAGAGUUGGUUUUCUGUUCUUCCUAAACUGAAAAACAAAUACAGAAGUUAAGUGAGAAAUCAAUCUCAUUUUAAAAGAAUUUAUAACAGUAGGUACUUGAGUUUAUAAAAUGGUUCAUUGAAACAAAUUUCAAAAAAGAACUUUUAAAAUGGCAACCACCUAGCUAACUGAAGUUAUUACAGUUGCUUCCAGUUGUAUUUGUUCUUGUGGACCAAGUCAAGACAGAGAAAUAUGCAUGAUCACCUAUUUUUUAUUAGCACCAAAUCAUUUUCCUACUGUUUACCUAGUGAACUCCCUCUGCUUGAUUUGCGAUGAAGUAAGUCUUAGAGAGUUGAUUGUGUGGCAACUACCUCACUCAGAGAAUUGCUUCAUGAACUUAAAAUCAUCCAUAAGUUCCUCUCAGAAUGAGAAUUCAGAAAUAGUUCUCUAGGCAAGAGGUUUUGAUCUAGGAAUCGAUUGAGAGCUAUUGGGGGAAAUACUGUUUCCAACAGUAAUUUGUUCAAACCUGGAUUUUCAGCAACAAAUGUAUUUCAAGUGGGAAGGGAAUUAUCAUUAUUCCUGAAAACCAACACAGUGCUCUGGCCCAGGCUAUCCGGUUUCAGAGGAGAAUGGCUAACAUGUUCAAAAUUUUCUACUCUGAAGAUGAUAUUUUGUGAAGUGUAUUUCAUAGUGUACUGUAUCACAUAGUCCCUGUACUAAAAACAAACAACCCAGAACUGUUCAUCUGAACGCUGAUCUUUUAUAGGGGACCUCUAAUCCUCCCACAGAGAGAGGCUGAUGACCAAAGAGAUCAUUUCAAGUAAGAUAAGCAAGCCAUUAUUUAGCUUUAUCUUUAGAAUACAGUGUGUAUUUUAUUGGAGGGAUAAAGACAGAAUGGUAGAAAAGGUAGAUGUGAGAUUUGUUAGGUUACCACCAUAAUUUUGGGUGAGGAUCUUCUUAAAAUUAGUUUUUGUUCUUUAAGCACAGAACAAUGAAUGGUUGAAGCAACUGCUCCCCCACAAAGAGGAAAUCAUCCUGGAAUUAAUAAUGUUGUUUGAGGAGCCCAUUGAGUGCAUAAACAACAAGUGGAUGGCUAAGACAUGACUAUAUUGUAUUGGAGAUAACAGUCCCCUUCCUAAGGAGUAAAAAAAAUCCAGAGGCAAAGUCUAAAUAUAGUAAGACUCUUUUAUCUCUUUCCAACAUCAGAGAUAAAUGACAUUAGAAAUUUAAAAAAGGAUUUUUUUCCAGCUCACAACUAGUGAAAUUAGAGUGCAUGUUAAUUUAGCAGAGGACCCCGCCAAUAUUGAGAGUCUAGGCUUGCCUUCAGAAAAGCUGAGGAUCCAUCAGUGUGAUUCUUCUGGAAUCCAGGAGUGUUCUCUUGACAAAAAUUUCCUGCUUCCUCCCAUGUUCCUGAAAUCCCUUAGUUUGCCCAUGAGACCGUUAGGUACAGAAUGGUAAGAAAUCCCUCUUCUGCUCCGGUUACAGUAUCCCUCUUGAAGCUGGGCAAGUUAAUCCAUGAUGGAGAGAUGAGUAUAAACCAUUGUUUUUAUCAGAAGGAGCUUAGGCCUGGGUUUGGCCAAAGGCCAGGAGGUGACAGAUUUCAUAACUCGACCUCCAUUAUUUCCAUUAAUUCCCAAUUUCCUGGGAUACUAGAAGGUGGUGAACAUUUACAAUUAUAUAGAACUUGACAGUCUACAAAUAUUUCACAUGCAUAAUCUCAUUCUUCCUCUUCUCUGAGGCAGUUGGAAAUAAAAGCAGGAGUAGGGACUGUCACAUGAAGCAACUUUGGGAAUCAGGUCAAAUAUUUAUUUUCUUGAGUGCAAGAGACACUUAGGUAUUGUAGUAUGCCUGUGGAGGAAAAUGCCAACUCAGUUGCUUUUAUUCUGACUUCAGGAUAUUUUACAAUUUGGAUGUCCUGACAUUACUUUCAAAAUAAUUUAUGAUGAGGUGUUUUGCAUCAUUAAAAUAGUGUGAUACUUAGCUGAUUUUAAAUUUAUUAGUUUACUCCUAUAUAAUCUACUCAAGAGGUGGUUGGGCUGGGGUAGGGCAAAGACAGCUCAGGUUAAGUCAGAUUUUUAAAGUCUUUGGUAUCAUUUCUGACAUUCCAUUUUAAUAAUUUCCAAAGCAAACAUGACAAAGUAUGGUGUGCAUUCAGGAUAUCUCCCCUCCUAUACAUCACGGCAGACACCACUAACCAGUCAUGGCAUCCUUCUUUGAGACAGCCUGAGAAUCCUCACUUCUGCAUUUCUGGCAGCUACAACCAAUCAAUAGAUAUUAUCUCACAAGUUCAAACUUCUUUCAUUGACUUCUCUGAUCCAAAGGGUAGCAUGAUCCUUCUAUACAUUUUUCCUUCAGCAAAUGGAAAUGAAUUAUUUUUAUUUUAUUUCUUUUUGAAGAUUUUAUUUAUUUGACAGAGGAGAGAGUGAGAGAGGGAACGCAAGCAAGGGGAGUGGGAGAGAGAGAAGCAGGCUUCCCACUGAGCAGGGAGCCUUACUCAAGGCUUGAUCCCAGGACUCUGGGAUCAUGACCUGAGCAGAAGACAGUCACUUAAAAACUGAGCCACCCGGGUGCCCCAAAAUGAAUUAUUUUUUUUUUUAAAGUACUGUACUACACACCAGUACUUCUCAAACUUUAGUAUGCAAACCAAUCACUUGGGGAUCUUGUAAAAAUGCAGAUUCUGAUUUAGUAGGUCUGGGAAGGUGCCCAGAAUUUUGCGUUUCUAAUAAGGUGAAGGUCGUAUGUGAUGUCAGUGCUACUGAUCUGUGGACCACACUUUGAGUAGCAAGGUUCUACUAGCCCAUUUUCUGGAGACAAAAUGUGAACUAGAAAACUAUGUACAAGGCAACUCAAUAACCAAUAAAAAAGAAUAAAAACAAGGCAAGUGUUCCAUUAGAAGCUGAAGUUUUAUUAUAGGAUAACAGUACAUAAAGCACAUCUAAAAUUGAUGUGUUCAAUGCACUUUUAAUAAAGGUAAUGUAAUAUUAAAGGUACAGUUUCUAAGUACAAUAUAACAACAUUCAUAUUAGAAUGAAAAUCGGAGUAUUUAAAAGACAACAUUAAAUCUCUUUUUUUUACAGCUUGUAUUUACAAAAUGAAUCAAAAUAUUUUUUUAAAUUGAGGACUCAAUAAAAUAACAAACAGCUGGAAAGAAGCAGACUACUGUAAGAGUGAAUUGAAAAGAAAACCCAAUGUAAGUGAAACGUUGGAUGAUCCUCCAAUAAAGAUCAUUAGCAAAGUUUUAGUACAAUACUAUUUUUAGGAUUCCCAUAAAUGGCUUGCAUUUUUAGUGUGGCAGAAAAGGAGUUUUUACAUACUGUACACAAAACAGACAGCAUAUAUUUAUAGGUACAGUAUUACUGUUUCCAAACUUGCAUGUAUAUUUACAGAAGGCUGAGUUUGUUACUCACAGAGUUUUGUGAAAUUUGUGU